GAAGAGACGGUGAGUUCACAUAGUUAAGAACGCCGUACAAGGGUGAAAACGGCUAGGAAAACCGUCUUUCCGCUUUUAGCAACCAAAACCAAAACCUUCUCUGCUACUUCCGUCUAACAAAUUCAGUUUACAACUGCAACUUUCUCGUUUUUUUUUUUAAUUAUUUCCAUUUCCAGAAUUUUAAAUUUUCACUGCGUCAACUUCAGAGCUGAGUUGCCCCUGUUUUGUUGAAUUCUAUGAGCAGAGGUUUCGUCAUGGUCGAGAAUUUUAAGACUUCGAGAGUGCUGGUGAAUAUGGAAGCGGCGUCUCAUGCAAAUUUUUACACAGAGGAGCUCUAGCAUUGGUUAAAUUUUUCAAGAAGUUUGAUUUCCAACCCCAGUAUGGAAUACCCUUUUUCCUCCAAGGAAAGAGAAAUUGGCGAUUGGCAAUCUUCCGGAACUCAGUUGGUGGGAUCAACAUCAUUAGAUAGCAGAAUGAACAAUUCAAUAUCAGAGGAUAUGCCCAAUAGCUUCUCAGAGCUCAUGAACUUUGAUACUUAUGCUGGUCUGUGCAACAGCCCAUCCAUAUCUGAUCAUAUUUUGGCUAAUGAGCUUCCGUCCUUUGCUUCAUUACCAUAUUCAUUGCCUGAUGGAUUCAACCUAGUCCAACAGAACAAUGGGCAAUGCUAUAUGUCAGGAGUUGGUAGAAAUGACAACGAUAUGGAAAGCUCCCCCAUUUAUGGGGAGAAAGUUGCCUGUCAGCAAGUGGACACCCUUCUUGGUUUCUUAAAUGAUGCAAAUGAAGAAAAUAACUUGAAUUCUAAGCUAAAAAUUAAUGGCUCUUCUCAACAUCUGAAUAACUCUGAUGCAGGAAAUUAUAUAAUGUCCAGGCCACCUGCUUUAUCACUUGAUGAGAGAAUGCUGAGGGCUUUGUCCUUCUUUAAGGAAUCAGCUGGAGGGGGAAUAUUGGCACAAGUUUGGGUACCCAUAAAGAAUGGCGAUCAAUUCAUCUUAAGCACGAGUGAACAACCUUAUUUGCUAGAUCAAAUGCUAGCAGGGUACCGUGAAGUGUCCAGGACAUUUACAUUUUCUGCAGAAGGAAAAUCUGGUUGUUUCCUAGGACUUCCUGGUCGUGUAUUUACCUCCAAAGUUCAUGAGUGGACGUCAAAUGUUGGUUAUUACAGUAUGAGUGAGUACCUAAGGUUCGAGCAUGCAAUUAAUCACCAUGUUCGUGGAUCAAUUGCAUUUCCCAUUUUUGAUGUGCACUCGGAAUUGUUGUGUUGUGCUGUACUGGAAAUUGUCACUACAAAGGAAAAGCCAGAUUUCAACAGAGAAAUUGAAAUUGUUUGCCGUGCACUCCAGCUUGUAAAUUUAAGCACUGCCAAGCCUCUUCGAUGUCUUCCCCAGUGUCUUUCAAACAACAAAAAGGCUACUUUGACUGAGAUAGUUGAUGUGUUACGUUCUGUCUGUCAUGCACAUAGAUUACCACUGGCACUGACAUGGCUUCCCUGUUGUUACAAUGAGGGAUCAAGAGGUGAAGUUACUAGGAUACGAACUAAAGGGUGCCAUUCAACUAUUAGUGGAAAAAACAUACUCUGCCUUGAAGAAUCUGCUUGCUAUAUAACUGAUAGAGCACUGGCAGGAUUUGUCCGUGCAUGCACAGAACAUCAUAUUGAGGAAGGGAAAGGUAUAGCUGGGAAAGCUCUUCGAUCAAAUCAUCCUUUCUUUUGUCCUGAUGUGAAGGAAUAUGAUAUUGGUGAAUAUCCACUUGUCCAUCAUGCACGCAAGUAUAAUUUGAAUGCUGUAGUUGCAAUUAGGCUAAGGAGUACUUAUACUAAUCAUGAUGAUUACAUAUUGGAAUUCUUUCUGCCUGUUAACAUGAGAGGGGGUUUAGAGCAGCAACUUUUAUUAGACAACCUCUCAGGUACAAUGCAGAGAAUUUGUAGUAGUUUGAGGACGGUGUCAGAUGCUGAAUUAUCAAGAAUAGAAAGUUCACCAGAAGGAUUUGAAAAGACAAAUGCCCGCUAUUUUCCUCCUUUGUCAUGUCAAAACUCUGGAGUACCAUUAAUAAAUGGUGACUAUCAUUCUGUUCCAAUGAUGUCAUCGACUCCAACAAAAGCACGAGGCAAUGAAAUUGAGCCUUCUGCUAAUCAGGGAAGAUAUGGAGCAAAAAGACAGGUCCAGAAAAAUAAAAGUACAUCAGAGAAGAAUGUUAGCUUGAGUGUUCUCCAACAAUACUUUUCUGGUAGUCUGAAGGAUGCUGCAAAAAACAUCGGUGUUUGCCCGACAACUCUGAAAAGGAUAUGUAGGCAACAUGGAAUUUCAAGGUGGCCAUCCCGCAAGAUUAAUAAAGUGAAUCGAUCACUGAAGAAGAUACAGACUGUGCUGGACUCUGUCCGAGGAGUGGAGGGAGGGUUGAAGUUUGACUCCUCUAUGGGGGCAUUCGUGGCAAGAGGAUCAAUCAUCCAGGAAACUGAUGCACAUAAAAGUCUUCUGUUUCCUGAGAAAAAUAUUAUAAAAGACCCUGCACAUAUUACACAAGAAGCAGUCCCGGUACCUCGUGCACCUUGUAAUGAAGUUGAGGAAGAAUUGAAGAAAACCAAUGCUUUUUCCGUUGGUUGUUGUGAAGAUUCAAAAUCAAUGGCAAUUGAUGAUGGGUCAUGCGAAAUGGAAAGCCUUUGCACCAAGGUGCAGGAUUGUCCUGAACAAGCUUGUUUGGGCUCUGUUCUUCCAGAAGAACAGGAUAAAUGGACUGGGAACAAGAGUGGUUUGAGAGUAGAAAACUGUAAAUGCAGUAUUCUUGGUCAGAGUUCAAAUUCCUUGAUUGGUAAGGAGAUGGACAUUGGUGUAGAUGGGGAUGCUGAGGUUGUUGAACCUAACCACCCCAGUUCCUCAAGCUUGACAGACUCAUCUAAUGACUCUGGUUCAAUGAUGCAUAGCAUUUCAUCAGGUUCUAAGAGCUUUAAGAACCAGAAUCAGUCCAAAGUUAAGUCAACCAUCGUUGAUAGUGGGUCAAAACUAAUUGUCAAAGCUAUCUAUAGAGAAGACACCAUUCGUUUCAAGUUCGACCCAUCUGCUGGUUGUUUCAGGUUAUAUGAAGAAGUUGCAGCAAGAUUCAAACUACAAACUGGGUCAUUCCAACUCAAAUAUCUAGAUGAUGAAGAGGAAUGGGUAAUGUUGGUGAAUGAUGCUGAUUUGCAAGAGUGUCUAGACGUAUUGGAUGAUAUUGGUACAUGCAGUGUCAGGUUUCUUGUUCGUGAUUUGCCUUCCAUUUUAAGCAGUUCUGGCAGUAGUAAUAGCUACUUGGGAGGCAGCUCAUAGAUGUGGUUGGCGACUUCAAUGUGAAGGUUCAAGUCUCACUUUGACAAGGUGAUGUUAGUUUUUCGGAAUCUUCUAAAGGUUCUGCAUCUUGAGAAGUUUGAAUAUUAGCCACAAGCCACCUACACCAAGUGCAAAGCUUUUAUGAUCCAAACCUAGUGCAUUGCCAAAUUAUCAUUUCUGAGUAGCUUUUUGGAAGAUAGAAAGGUGCGGUUCAUUGGAAGUAUUGCGUGUUAAAUACAUAGUUCUGUACAUAUCGAACACAUAGCAGCAGAAUAGAAAUUUGUAGUGGUAGUAGCAGUAAUCAGGACUGAGGUAAACCGUAAUGCUGUGAUCACACUCUGUUAUUGUAAAUAGACAGUAUCUGGAUAGAUUGAUUGAUUCCCCAUGACAUAAUAUAGCUAAAGUAUGGUUGUAUGGACAAAAGAGGACAAAUCCAAGUUACGUGGCUACAACGACAACUAAUUCAGUAUUGCCCCAAUGCGAUUAUAAAAAUUAUUGUAGAUUUGGGUGAUUGCAUCUUUUUUGACUUCAAAUGACAAAGACGAAUAACAUCACCCUCUUGUGAUUUAGUUGAUAAGGAAUUUGUUCCGGUUCGAAGCGACAAUUCUGCUCUGCAUUGGCUUUGGAAAAUUUGGUUUUGUAUCUGAAAGAUUUGAUUAACUUUGUCUCUAUCAGCCAAUCUGGUGCUGUUAUCCCAGGAAGGUUUUACAAUGAUCAGGGUGAAAAUAGCAAAGGGAUGGCUACUCAAGUUUAAACUACUGCUUUCCCAAUCAUGUCCGUUCCUUCGCUUUCAGAGGCUUCAACUUCUGUAAUGUUUUGUUCUGGGAGUCUCAAUUGCUGCUGACAGUAUGAUGUACUCCACUGAACUCUUAUACGUCUCGGCUUCUACGUAAUUGCUGAUUUGUGCAUUUUAAUGUAGUUUUCUCAUGUUUUAUCAUUGUUCAAAAAGUUCACAGAUUUGAUUAUAAACUAUACAGUGGUUAUGACGUUGUCUGCUUUCCUCCUUGGUGUCGAAUGAACCAUCUGGUCCUUCCAAGGGAAAAAGUACAUGAUUGAUUUCUAUGUAACCUUGGAGAUUCUGCAUUGUAUUAUGCUGCCCUUUGAGAUGAUUCUGAAGAAGUAAACUUUUUUUGUUUUUUUUGGAAAUGCAAAUCUUCACAUCAUUGUUGCCAGUGCUGCUUCUAUCUAUCAUAUCCUAGGCCUAUUUUCAAGUAGUGGCGUACUUUGCAUGGAUAAAUGAAGAGUUCCGGGAAAGGACAAGUUGCUCAUGUAACGACUGGUUUGGACUGCAGUAGCCAGGCAUAUAUGCUCUGUUGUUGAUGAUGUUGGCUUGAUCUUCUUAAUGUCUUCACUCCAAUAAGGGCUGUUUGUUUAGCUGUAUCUCGCUGCUGUUGUUUUAGGGUUCAUGAUAAGAUGGAAUCAAGAUAAUUUCUUUGUUUGAGAUUAAGUCUGAGAAUGAUACUGCUUGUUGAGAAUAUUCCGUUUCAUACCUAUGCAGAAGUGCCGUUUUUCUUUCUGAUAAAUAAGUUUUUUAUACCUUCAAA